rnacentral:sRNA from 1 species
UGCUAGCCCCGAUUGAAGCGACAUCCUUUUAUCUCGUUUUUAAGAACGAGAUAAAAGAUAUAGCGAAAAGCGGGAGGAAUC